rnacentral:rRNA from 1 species
CCUACGGGAGGCUGCAGUGGGGAAUAUUGGACAAUGGGGGGAACCCUGAUCCAGCCAUGCCGCGUGUGUGAAGAAGGCCCUCGGGUUGUAAAGCACUUUCAGUGAGGAAGAACGCCUGGUGGUUAAUACCCAUCAGGAAAGACAUCACUCACAGAAGAAGCACCGGCUAACUCCGUGCCAGCAGCCGCGGUAAUACGGAGGGUGCGAGCGUUAAUCGGAAUUACUGGGCGUAAAGCGCGCGUAGGUGGCUUGAUAAGCCGGUUGUGAAAGCCCCGGGCUCAACCUGGGAACGGCAUCCGGAACUGUCAAGCUAGAGUGGAGGAGAGGAAGGUAGAAUUCCCGGUGUAGCGGUGAAAUGCGUAGAGAUCGGGAGGAAUACCAGUGGCGAAGGCGGCCUUCUGGACUGACACUGACACUGAGGUGCGAAAGCGUGGGUAGCAAACAGGAUUAGAUACCCUUGUAGUC